rnacentral:rRNA from 1 species
UACGUAGGGGGCAAGCGUUGUCCGGAAUCAUUGGGCGUAAAGAGCGUGUAGGCGGCUCGAUAAGUCUGCUGUGAAAGUCCAGGGCUCAACCCUGGAAGGCCGGUGGAAACUGUCGGGCUAGAGUCCGGAAGAGGCGAGUGGAAUUCCCGGUGUAGCGGUGAAAUGCGCAGAUAUCGGGAGGAACACCAAUGGCGAAGGCGGCCUGCUGGGCUGUUGCUGACGCUGAGGCGCGACAGCGUGGGGAGCAAACAGG